UACACUUUUCCGUCAAUCAAAUAAACGUGAUUGACAAUAUAUUUCCGGCGUCAGUGGCUGUUUUCUAAGAUAACCCUACAUCAUUUCUGAGAGCCUAGUGCAAGAACUACAAAAUCCUCAUGUCCCGACGUAUCACGUUACAACCCUGAAACUGUAGUGAGGUUUUCAGGCGGCAUUCAUUAACUUGAGCAAUUGCAUUUCUUUGGAAAUGGACGUUACUUAGGUAGCUUUUAGACACAAAUACUGGCAAACUAAGAUAUUACCUGCAUUUCCCUUAUGAUGCUAAGAAAUCUUGUUUAGAAAUACAUGCAUGAUUGUGUGUUUUCUCUCAGCUAGGAUGAUGGCUCAGUUCAAGGAUGAUUGGAGGAGAGAACAGUUGCAGAAUGAUGAUCUUCAAAAGAAACUCAGUAAGUAUCUCUGAUGACCUCUUUGUGUCCACAGCCUGUAUUAAACAUUCAGGUUUUUGGUUCUUUCGGCAUCCCCUCUCUUCUUCCCUAUAUGCCAUCUUUUGGCUCACAUGUCAUCUCCAUGUCUUCCCUCUCCUCCCUCAAGGUUUCUGUUUAUGGACGCCUCCCAUCCUAAGUUCUCUCCGUUUCUUUUACCCGAGACCUGAUUCCUUCUCAGUGCUUCCCACUUCAUUUCACAGGGUCCUUCCUGUAAACAUGGUCUUACUCUGGCUUCCAGAGUCUUGGCAGGUCCGUUUUGAUUUUGUGAGAAGAAGGGGAGAGACUGAUGGACAUGUGGCUUCUGUUCCACGUUUAGCUUCUGGAACACUUCCAAUAACUUAGACUCUCUGUCAUACAGCAAAGUUCAAGGGGCCAUCCUCAUGCCAUUGAUGCCUCCCCAAAGCUUAUGAAAUAAAACAAGGCUGCAAAUUUGCUGAGUGAUGUUUUCCCAAAGCUUGUCUUCUAAAGAGUGUGUAGACUCAGUUCUAAUCCAUUGAUCCAGGUGGGCUUUGGGCUCUUACUUCCAAUGCUCCCGGUCGUUUCCUGCAGUCUUUUCGCAGGUGCACAGAGAUUUUACACACCAUUUCACGGAUUUCUUUUCUUUUAUGUCAGAGCACUUCCUCUGUCUUCUUCUUGCGUGAUAUUGACAUAGUUCUUAAUUUAUCACAUUGAGACAAGCUUUAAGUGUUUGUAGACGCACUGUGUACACUAGGGAAAAUUAAUUUAUACUCCAGUUCUCCAACCUGCAAUUUUCUAUGACUGUCAUGAGAGGCUAUCGCCCUAGGAUACUCCUCGGUGUUUUUAAUGAAACACUGAUAUAAACUAAGAUAACACGGCUACGGACAGGGUUUUGGCUAGAUGGAUGCUCUUACUAUGGACUUCCUCACGACCUCAUAAGUACGGGACUCCCGUAUGUGUCCAUAUUUACACUGUAUUCUGGAAAAAGGAGAAGGCCAAGUGAGAGACAAAUGAUUGCUACUGUUUAUCCCAGAAGAAGUCCUAUUCUACUUUCCCUCGCACCAUCAUUUUCUGUCUUUGUGGCUUUGCCUCAAGCGGUGAGGGGGUGGGGGAGGUAAGACAACACUGCCACCGAUUCACACCAUGUCCUGUGAACAUCUGUGCUUCCAUUUCUAAAAACAUUGGUCCCUUUGAGACGUGGCCUAAGCUCAGAAAGCACUCCCCAGUUCUGUUAGCCGCCCAGCAGAGAGAGCCAAAGGGUUCUUUGGGUGGUGGUGGUGUUUUGUUUGUUUUCUACCACACUGGUAGAGUCGUUAACAACAUAAGUCUUUGCCUCUAAGGAAAUGUUCCAAUUAUGAUUCUGUUUUCAAAUGGAUAGUAUUGAGGAACAUUUCUUAACUGUCUGUAGCAGGUUUCAUAGGAUGUCUGCUAUACAUUGUUUGCACAAAUGGAUGCUUUUUCUCCUUGCUUUCUCAUCUCAUGUAUUUCCUUGGCAUGUUUCGGGGCGGGGGGGUACCUUUUAUUUGUUUGAUUUCUGAUUACAUUCAUCUUACGUAUUUACUCUGAAGUGGAAGUUUUAAUUUUAUUUUAAUUUUCUGUAUUGGUUUUCCUUGAUUCUUUCAUGAGUUUUCCAUUAUAUUUUCCAGAUCAAGUCCAGAAAGAAAUGGGUAAAUUUUUUGACAUUUUUUAACAGAUGUAGUUCUUUAAAACAUCUUUUCCCACCGUUUCUCAACAUUCCCUCCUCCCUGCUCCUGUCCGCCCUUUCGCUUCUUGUGGGUUUCACGUUACCCUAUCUUCUCUUUGACGUCCUGAGGUCCUCCCACAUCACAUUCCCUUCCCACCAUCUCUCUGGCUGUUUGUUAUUCCUUCCAGUCUCUUCCUUGCUAUACACCCAGGUGGUGUUCUACCUCCCUGGUGAUUACCCUAAUUUCAUGAUAAGGUUGGUGAGAUGAUGAAGAUUCGCUUAAGGUGAGUGUGGUCAUUGCCAUUCGAGAGAAGGCUUCCUUUCCCUUGGGUUCUCCAAGUGCUCUGAGGUGGAGUGCCUCUUGCUUUACAGAUGAUCGCGUUCUGGCUUUUAGGGGAAGCAUUCAGACUCCAAAGCUGUUGCAUGAGAUGAGUUCCUUCUUUGUUGACUGGGUAAACACUGUGUACACUGAUGUCAAGCGUACUCUUGAAACGAGCCAGUCCGCUUUGCUUGACCCUAUUCUCAAGGGAUAUUGGUAAUAGUUUUGCAUGACAAUGUGGGAUUUUUCCUUUUAAACAACAAUGAUUACUCUCCUUUCUUUUUUAUUUUAAUUCAUUUAAUAAUUACUCCAACACAUUUCUCUUACACAUACACUUUUCCGUCAAUCAAAUAAACGUGAUUGACAAUAUAUUUCCGGCGUCAGUGGCUGUUUUCUAAGAUAACCCUACAUCAUUUCUGAGAGCCUAGUGCAAGAACUACAAAAUCCUCAUGUCCCGACGUAUCACGUUACAACCCUGAAACUGUAGUGAGGUUUUCAGGCGGCAUUCAUUAACUUGAGCAAUUGCAUUUCUUUGGAAAUGGACGUUACUUAGGUAGCUUUUAGACACAAAUACUGGCAAACUAAGAUAUUACCUGCAUUUCCCUUAUGAUGCUAAGAAAUCUUGUUUAGAAAUACAUGCAUGAUUGUGUGUUUUCUCUCAGCCAGGAUGAUGGCUCAGUUCAAGGAUGAUUGGAGGAGAGAACAGUUGCAGAAUGAUGAUCUUCAAAAGAAACUCAAUCAAGUCCAGAAAGAAAUGGGUAAAUUUUUUGACAUUUUUUAACAGAUGUAGUUCUUUAAAACAUCUUUUCCCACCGUUUCUCAACAUUCCCUCCUCCCUGCUCCUGUCCGCCCUUUCGCUUCUUGUGGGUUUCACGUUACCCUAUCUUCUCUUUGACGUCCUGAGGUCCUCCCACAUCACAUUCCCUUCCCACCAUCUCUCUGGCUGUUUGUUAUUCCUUCCAGUCUCUUCCUUGCUAUACACCCAGGUGGUGUUCUACCUCCCUGGUGAUUACCCUAAUUUCAUGAUAAGGUUGGUGAGAUGAUGAAGAUUCGCUUAAGGUGAGUGUGGUCAUUGCCAUUCGAGAGAAGGCUUCCUUUCCCUUGGGUUCUCCAAGUGCUCUGAGGUGGAGUGCCUCUUGCUUUACAGAUGAUCGCGUUCUGGCUUUUAGGGGAAGCAUUCAGACUCCAAAGCUGUUGCAUGAGAUGAGUUCCUUCUUUGUUGACUGGGUAAACACUGUGUACACUGAUGUCAAGCGUACUCUUGAAACGAGCCAGUCCGCUUUGCUUGACCCUAUUCUCAAGGGAUAUUGGUAAUAGUUUUGCAUGACAAUGUGGGAUUUUUCCUUUUAAACAACAAUGAUUACUCUCCUUUCUUUUUUAUUUUAAUUCAUUUAAUAAUUACUCCAACACAUUUCUCUUACACAUACACUUUUCCGUCAAUCAAAUAAAUGUGAUUGACAAUAUAUUUCCGGCGUCAGUGGCUGUUUUCUAAGAUAACCCUACAUCAUUUCUGAGAGCCUAGUGCAAGAACUACAAAAUCCUCAUGUCCCGACGUAUCACGUUACAACCCUGAAACUGUAGUGAGGUUUUCAGGCGGCAUUCAUUAACUUGAGCAAUUGCAUUUCUUUGGAAAUGGACGUUACUUAGGUAGCUUUUAGACACAAAUACUGGCAAACUAAGAUAUUACCUGCAUUUCCCUUAUGAUGCUAAGAAAUCUUGUUUAGAAAUACAUGCAUGAUUGUGUGUUUUCUCUCAGCCAGGAUGAUGGCUCAGUUCAAGGAUGAUUGGAGGAGAGAACAGUUGCAGAAUGAUGAUCUUCAAAAGAAACUCAGUAAGUAUCUCUGAUGACCUCUUUGUGUCCACAGCCUGUAUUAAACAUUCAGGUUUUUGGUUCUUUCGGCAUCCCCUCUCUUCUUCCCUAUAUGCCAUCUUUUGGCUCACAUGUCAUCUCCAUGUCUUCCCUCUCCUCCCUCAAGGUUUCUGUUUAUGGACGCCUCCCAUCCUAAGUUCUCUCCGUUUCUUUUACCCGAGACCUGAUUCCUUCUCAGUGCUUCCCACUUCAUUUCACAGGGUCCUUCCUGUAAACAUGGUCUUACUCUGGCUUCCAGAGUCUUGGCAGGUCCGUUUUGAUUUUGUGAGAAGAAGGGGAGAGACUGAUGGACAUGUGGCUUCUGUUCCACGUUUAGCUUCUGGAACACUUCCAAUAACUUAGACUCUCUGUCAUACAGCAAAGUUCAAGGGGCCAUUCUCAUGCCAUUGAUGCCUCCCCAAAGCUUAUGAAAUAAAACAAGGCUGCAAAUUUGCUGAGUGAUGUUUUCCCAAAGCUUGUCUUCUAAAGAGUGUGUAGACUCAGUUCUAAUCCAUUGAUCCAGGUGGGCUUUGGGCUCUUACUUCCAAUGCUCCCGGUCGUUUCCUGCAGUCUUUUCGCAGGUGCACAGAGAUUUUACACACCAUUUCACGGAUUUCUUUUCUUUUAUGUCAGAGCACUUCCUCUGUCUUCUUCUUGCGUGAUAUUGACAUAGUUCUUAAUUUAUCACAUUGAGACAAGCUUUAAGUGUUUGUAGACGCACUGUGUACACUAGGGAAAAUUAAUUUAUACUCUAGUUCUCCAACCUGCAAUUUUCUAUGACUGUCAUGAGAGGCUAUCGCCCUAGGAUACUCCUCGGUGUUUUUAAUGAAACACUGAUAUAAACUAAGAUAACACGGCUACGGACAGGGUUUUGGCUAGAUGGAUGCUCUUACUAUGGACUUCCUCACGACCUCAUAAGUACGGGACUCCCGUAUGUGUCCAUAUUUACACUGUAUUCUGGAAAAAGGAGAAGGCCAAGUGAGAGACAAAUGAUUGCUACUGUUUAUCCCAGAAGAAGUCCUAUUCUACUUUCCCUCGCACCAUCAUUUUCUGUCUUUGUGGCUUUGCCUCAAGCGGUGAGGGGGUGGGGGAGGUAAGACAACACUGCCACCGAUUCACACCAUGUCCUGUGAACAUCUGUGCUUCCAUUUCUAAAAACAUUGGUCCCUUUGAGACGUGGCCUAAGCUCAGAAAGCACUCCCCAGUUCUGUUAGCCGCCCAGCAGAGAGAGCCAAAGGGUUCUUUGGGUGGUGGUGGUGUUUUGUUUGUUUUCUACCACACUGGUAGAGUCGUUAACAACAUAAGUCUUUGCCUCUAAGGAAAUGUUCCAAUUAUGAUUCUGUUUUCAAAUGGAUAGUAUUGAGGAACAUUUCUUAACUGUCUGUAGCAGGUUUCAUAGGAUGUCUGCUAUACAUUGUUUGCACAAAUGGAUGCUUUUUCUCCUUGCUUUCUCAUCUCAUGUAUUUCCUUGGCAUGUUUCGGGG